UGCCAUUUCGUUAUUCCUCCUUCUUCUUCUUCUUCUACAAAAAAUGCUAUGUGCUUCUUCUCUGGGUUUUCCCUCUUCUCAUUUUGCUGUUAUUUUCUUUUUGAUUUUCGAAGUGUUGCAUGUGAGUAAUUUCUUUUACCUUAAUAAAAAAUUUAGAUUUUAACCUAAGAUUUGAAGUUGGGGUUUUAAAAAUUCAAUGUAACCAAGCAACUAAAUAGCAAAUAGGAUUUUUUGGAGCGCAAGAGGAAUAAACGGGUGAAGGAUGCAAAGAAGCUGCUUUUAUAGUGAUCUUUGAGCGGCUCAUAUUGAGAGGUAAUAAAUGAACUUCUUUCUUCCUGAGAAAACUAUUAAGAACCUUUUUUUUGUUUAUUUUCAUUUUCAUAUCGAUUGUCAUGAUUUUCGUUAAUUGCUAUUUCAUACUUAUAUAUGAAAAAAUGGAUUGUACUUACGAAUUUCAAACACAUUGCUAUUUCAUUUAUAAGAAAACGGUUCCAAGAUGACAACCUCAUAAACAUGCUUUAUUCAACUUUUUUGGGGGCUGAAAUUGAGUGUCAAUUUGAUUUCUACUUUUGUCAUGUUCUGUUCGUGUCUUCUUCUUGUGUACUUAUGAUUUUUAUUUUUUAUAUAUUUCCUGUUUUCUUACCCAUUUUAUACAUGCAUGUUCUGGUUUAUCACUGAUUUGCAUAUGUCUAAGAUUUCAUAGAUAUUAUCAGUCCAGUUCCUUCUCCCCUUUCUUUUACUGCUCUAACUUUAUUGUUUCAAACUUUGCUGAGACUGAAUUGAAAGAUGAGGGUGCUAGCUUAGUUGCAAAUGCAUUAGAAGAUUUGAGCUUUCCUCGGAUAGGGUAGUCAUGAAAGUUGAUAGCUUAAGACUAUACAAAUAAAUGACAUUGUGUGUUUCUACUUCGUUGUUCUACCUUUAUUGAGCGUCAAAAUAUUACAUAGGGACAUGUAUCCAACUUAAGUUGUUGCUCGAUGUGUUAACCCCCUCAAUAUCAUAUGGUCUUUGAAAAAGAUCCAAGAAGUAUAAUAAUAUUAUGAUUUAUGCGAGGAUAAAAAAUAAUUUCUUCUACAUAAUAAGAAAAAUAUAUUUAUUAUUACCUAUUGGAUUCAUUUCUUGUGCCAAUAUUGUAGCUUAUUUAAUGAAUCUAAUUAUAGAUUAAAUCAUUGUGCUUUUAAGGUUAAAGUUUUAAUGAACUCAGGUUAUUGCACAACAAGGAUAAUGGAGAUCGCUCUGUUGAUGUUUGAUAAGAUGCUUUCCGAGGAUCUUGGCUCAUUGAUGUCAAUUAUACAUGGAUAUUCUGAAAAGGGCUUGUAAAGAGGUAACUAGGUUAAUCUACAUCCAUACGGAGGACUGUCUGAGCCUUGAUAUUGUUACUUUUGUUUAUCCUAGAUGCCUGUAAAGAAUUUGGUGUGUUUUGUUUAGGAAAGGAGUGCAUGAUUCCACUAAUUAGUUUUACUACUGUUAAUAUAUGUGUCAUAGGUGUAGAAAUCUUAUUAAGGAUUAUACUCUUUUAAUGGGAAACUCAAUGUCAUUUAGAAAGCCCAAAAAGUUCUCUCCUUGAGGCUUAUUUUUCCCUCUACUUUACAUGUACAUAUAAUUCAAACAUAUAUAAAAGGAUAAGGUAUUUAAUAGGAUAAAUACUUCUGUAAUCAGUGGCGUAUCUACAUGUUAUUUUUGGGUGCUCAAGCACCCAUUAUCUUUAACAAGAUUUAGUAAAUUUGUAUAGGUAUUUAUAAAAAUAUUGAGUGAGCACCCAUAACUAAACUCCUUUAUCCUCUUCUUUCAUAUUUUUUAUCAGUGAGCACCCGCGACUUUAAAAUCCUGGAUCCGCCACCGACUGUAAUGAGAUGGCAUAAAAAAGAUGUGAUGUGUAUUAAACUAUCACAUUUAACUUUUUGUAUCAUUGUACAUAGUACAGGUAACAGUCUAGGUGCACUGCUCAAGCUUGCGAACCUUUUCAAUUAUGUGUUAAAUUUGAAAUGAGAUUUUAAUCUAUAUCAUUGACCUCUUAGAUAAUAAUCUUAUGAUAUUCUUAUUUAUCUUUUUAAAAAAAAUUAGUAUGUCUCCUGAUUGCUGGUAAUUUAAAUGCAUAGUUUAAAAUUUAUAAUUGAUCCACAUGCAAUUAAAUAGUUGACUGAGGUGUCGUCAAGUGUUCAUUAUUCUAGAUUGCAGAUGAAGCAGGCACAUACUCCAGAAAUUGAGCAACCUACAUCUAUAAAUGAUAAGUGGGCGUAUGUAUAGGUAGCGAUAUAUCUCUUGCUAUAUGUUGAGCAUUGUCUGAACUCACUUCACAUUCACAAUUGCACGAAAAUAGCAAUGCGUUACUUUAUUUGAAGUAUCUUACCAGAUUUCUUUCUUUUUGUAUUUCAGAAUAUGCAUAUCAUAAUAUUAAUCAGACACUUUCCUUUUGAAGUGCUACAGAGAUCAACAACUCCAAGUCUGUUUCGAACUUGGGGAAUGCAUUUUUACGAAUAUAACACCAACUUCUUGACAACCUCUUCAAAUAUGUACUAUUUCUUAAAGUAACAUAGUUCUCACAGUUUUAAAUCUUAAAAAAAAAAAAACAUCUCUACCGCAAAAGUUUACUUGCAAUGUGAACUGCAAUAGUUUUACCUGCAAUGUGGCAUAUAUUGUGUUUGAAAAUUGAUGUCUGUGUCAAGGGUGUGAAUGACUGGUACACUCGAAUCUAUUAAUAAAUUUAAAUUCUUAAAAAAAUGGCUUGGUAUUUUGUUUACCCAAACUAACAGUUUUGUGUUAUCAUGUAGAAUAACGAUACUUACAUCUAAGCUGCUCCUGCUGGAAUCUAUAGUCCCUGUCACUGAACCUUCCCGAAAAAAUUUUAAUAUAAUUUUUUGAAAAGUGUGGGAAUGUAAUUAGUAAAAAGGUGCUUAAUUUUGAGGGACAUGAUGCUCUUGUAUAUUUGAUAUGCCUUUAUCAGAAAGAGAACUUGCAAGACUCAUUUUGACGAUAUGUUGUCUUAUUUGUCAUUGCCUAGGAGAAAACAUAAUGAUCUUAUUGUACUAUUUCUAGGAAAAUCAUAACUGGGUGGCUGUAAUCUUAGAAGUUGUUGUUCUUGGUAAUUUUGAGAAGGCAUAGGAAAUAUAUAUUGAACUGUCUUAAAGCAUUGUCUUACACUGUAGGUGUCUCUUUAUAAUCUAGAGAAAAGAUGAAUGCAAUUAGUACAAUUCAGGAAGUGCUUAGUAUGGCAAAGAAGAAGAAUUGACGGAAUCAUGACUAAAAUGACGUGUGAAUGCCCCAAUAGUGAUAUUAUAUGGACUGCUUUAGUUGAGAUGGCAACUUAUCUCAAUCCUCAUGUUAUUGCUGUAGUUAGAAAGUUAUUUGAAAAAAGAGGAAGUUAGACAAAGCUACACAUGAGUUUAAUAGGAUAUUUUUGUUGCACCAGGUAUUUGGAAAUUUUAGACAAUGCAUUACAAGUUUGAAGAGCAACAUAGUAAUAGACUGCAUAGGAAUGUUGUAGUAAAGAGAUGUGCUGCUGCAAAACAAAAGCACGGAGAAGGUGGAGCCAUAUUGAAAGAAAGAAUAGGACAAGGAGAUAAUAGACAAAUACUAGGAAGUGCUGCAUAAUUCAUAAAGAUUGCGUUGGUUUGAGAAGAUGAAAACAAUCUCAGUUAUAUAUGUUGACUUAGUUUUUCAGUCUAAGUGAUGUUUCAACUGGGAAUUCUUUUCGUGUUGCUACUUUAUCUUUUACAUUUAUCCAAACAAGCAAAUUUUAUAUCCUUUGGCAUUCGAAACCUUAUAUUUGCAGGUUACUCUACCACAGGAGAAAAAAUUCGAACUCUUCUUAUCCUCAAAGAUCUCCAUCAAGAUCUCCAUCACAUGUAUUGGAGAAAAUAGUUUCAGAUACCUUUUGCAUAUGCUGCUAAAAUAACUUAUUUGCAUAUAUUAGUCAUGUUGGGCCCGUGCAUAGCACGAGUUUCCCUUACUAGUCUACUAUAUAGAAAUGGGAGUUGGGGUAGGACGAACACUGCUAUAUGUCAUUGUACUAAAUUCAAUGUGAAUAGUACCAUGUACUUGGGCCAGUGGCUGACGCACGUGAUGGCAAGCGGGUUGAACCCGUUUCGUCAAAAAAUAAUACUGUGUAUAUGUAUAAAUUAGGAUUAAAGCUGCGUAAAUUUUGUAUAAAUAUUUUAUUGAACCCACUUGACAACUACUAUUUUACGACUAAAGUUAUGUACUUAUAAGAUUGAAUCCGCUUGCACAAAAUCCUGGGUCCGCCACUGACUCGGGCCAUUUCAUCAAAUGAAUACAUGGGUUAUUUGUCUAUUAUACCCUUGACCAAUAGCAUUAAUUAAUUUUAUAUUUAGGGUAAAAUUGGUAAUUGAGUUUCUUUAUCCUAUUUAUCAUUGAACACGUGUAUUCCACUUUUCAGUGCCUAUUUUUCUAUUCCCACUCUCCAAUAGUACAAUCUAGAAACACUUACUAUGAUCACUGAUCAUCGCUAUUUGUGAGACCUUGAAUUCGUUUUCUUACACAUUUUUCAAUUUGGUUCCAAGUUUUCAUUUCUCUGUUUCUCAAUUUGUGUGAGUUUUUUACCUUUUUUUCUUUUCUUAAUAACCCCUACUUCUUCCAUGCCUCACUUCUUAGUUUUUAUUUGAAUUGCUCUAUAGUGAUUACUGUUUAUAUACGGCCUCUACUGAAUCUAUGGUUUCUGGUAAGAAUUAUUACAUUUUCUUUUCUUUUCUUUGUUUGUUGCUAGAUUUUAGAAAUUUCAGGAGUCUCUAUUUUGAGCCCUAAAUUCCUCCUUAAAUUUUAAUGAAAAUAUGCGCAAUUUGGGUCCUUUCGGCGGGGGAAGGGGAGAGGGGGUGGAGGGCAUUCGAUUGAAAAGAGACUUGUGCGAUUUGUAACAAUUUCGAGUGUUCUGCUGUGAGUGAGCUUGAACCAAGCUUCAAUGGAGAUUCCAUAGAAUGUUCUCGAAAUUCAGAAGCAAUGAUAUUGAGAGGAAGAAGAGAAAUAUUGAAGCAAGAAUCUCAAAUUUCAUUCUUUAAAAUGAGGACUUAUAUACAAGACGUUUUAACAAGAAAAUAACAACCACUAACUAACCUCCAGCUAGUAUAACUAACUGCCAGCUGGCAACUAACUGACUUAACACACUAACAUCUAAUAACUAAUAAUUUUUGCAUCUUAACACCCCCCUCAAGUUGGAAGUGAGUGAAGCACAGACAACUUGUGCAAUAUAGCAGAAUGUUUGAUGCCUGUUAAGGCCUUGGUCAGUAUGUCUGCUAGUUGAGCACUGGUGGUGAUAUGGUGCAAGGAAAUGAGACCUUCCUGAAGUUUAUCCUGUACAAAGUGACAAUCAACUUCGAUGUGUUUAGUUCGUUCAUGAAAAACUGGAUUCCUGGCUAUAUGAAAUGCAGAUUGGCUGUCACAGUAGACGUCAAUAAGAUGAGGGAAUGGAACAGUUAACUCUUCAAAUAACCUGCUCAGCCAAACUAGUUCUCCUACAACUUUCCUCAAUGACCUGUACUCUGCCUCUGCAGAUGAUAGUGAGACAACUUCUUGCUUUUUGGAUUUCCAGCUAACAGGACUGUGACCUAGCAAGACAAUAUAGCCACUGACAUAUUUUCUAGAAUCUGGACAUGAUGCCCAAUCAGAGUCACAAUAGGCUCUUACAGUAUAGUCUUCAUCUUUGGAAAAGAAAAUCCCCAAUGUUGGAUCAGUUCUCAGAUAUCUGAGCAAGUGAAAGGCUGCCUUAAGAUGAGGUUCUCUGGGGUCUUGCAUAAACUGACUUAGGUGUUGAACUCCAUAGGCAAUGUCUAAUCUGUUAUUGGUUAGGAAACUGAGUUUUCCCACCAGCUUUCUAUAGUAAGUAGGAUUUUGUAAUGGAGUGCCUUCCUUGGCCUUCAACAUGACAGAAUGAUCUAAGGGAGAAAAGAAGCCACUCUGAGAUAAACAAUCAUAUUCCUUUAAUAAGUCUAAUGCAAAUUUUCUUUGUGAUAUUACUACACCAUCUGCCUUAUACAGUACUUCCAUUCCCAGGAAAUAAUGCAAUUUGCCAAGGUCCUUGAUUCUGAAACUGUCAUGAAGAAAACUCUUCAGUCUUUCUAAUUCUUCUACAUCAGUCCCUGUCACAACUAUAUCAUCUACAUAAACAGCCACAUAAACUGCAUUAGUGCCUUCUUUCUUAUGGAAUAAUGAAUAGUCAAGCAUAGAAUGUGUAUAACCUCUGGAGCACAAUGCCUCACUCAGCUUGGCAUACCACUGCCUGCUUGCCUUUUUGAGGCCAUAUAAGGACUUGUUUAACUUGUAAACCAGUCCUUCCUUAGUGACCUCUAAUCCUGGUGGGACCUCCAUAUGCACUUCCUCAUGAAGAUCACAAUGGAGGAAUGCGUUGUUGACAUCAAGCUGGGAUAUGAACCAUCCCUUCUUUACUGCAGUUGCAAUCAAAGCUCUCACUGUGGUCAUUUUUACCACAGGGGAGAAUGUCGGUGUAAUCAAUUCCAGCUUCUUGUGUGUAUCCCUUCACAACUAGCCUUGCUCUAAACCUUUCAACACUUCCAUCUGCCUUGUGCUUAAUCUUAUAUACCCACUUACACCCUAUAGCUUUCUUGCCAUGAGGCAAAGAUACUAGAUCCCAUGUGUGAUUGCUGUGCAAAGCAUCAAAUUCUUGAGUCAUUGCUUCCUGCCAGGCAGGAUUGAUGACAACUUCCUCAUAUGAAAUUGGUUACCUGUCAUGACAAAUGUUUCUCACAAGAGCUUGACUGUCAUGGGUUAAUGCCUCAGUAGAUAUAGAAUUGUGAUUUGAGAAUAAUGCAUUGAGUGAGAAAGAGUUAGCAUGGCAUAUGGGUGCAGUGUCUAUAGGUUUGAGAUUAGGAAUAUAAUGAAUGUAGUCCUUCAAAUGUACUGGUGUCUUAGGUUCUCUAAGUGAUUUUCUAGGGCCAACAUGUGAUGUAAGUGGUACAGAACUGUUAGGAACAGAAUCAUUCUGUGUGUGAAAAUACAGGUCCAUUGGUGGUGUAGGAUUGUUGGUAGUAGAGUUGUUUUGUGUGUGAAAAUAGGAGUCCAUUGGUGGGGAGCUACUGUGUGUAGGGAGCUGGUCAUGUGAAGUAGUGGCAGGAGAAGAUUCCAAGGGUCCUGUAGGCUGUGUGACACUUGACCUGUGCUGACUAGUGUGUUGUUUUGGCUCAACUUCUAAAUGGUCAAUAAAGGGAAUGAAAUUGAGGACUGAUGGGAAGGAAGUGGUGUUAUCAUGCAUAGCAAAAGGGAAAAUAUAUUCAUUGAAAGCGACAUCUCUGGAGAUAUGUAUCUUUUUGGUGGCUAAAUUCAAGACCUUGUAUCCUUUUGUGUUAAAGGGGUAACCAACAAAAACAUGAGGGGUAGUUCUUGGCUCAAACUUGUCUCUGUGAGGUUUAGGAACUGUAGGAUAGCACAAACAUCCAAAACUUCUCAUUUGUGAGUACUUAGGCUUCCUUUUGUAUAGAAGUUCAUAAGGGCAUCUAUUGUUUAGGCUGCUAGAAGGUAGUCUGUUUAUAAUGUAAGUUGCACAAAUAAUACACUCGCCCCAGUAUCUGGUUGGUAAUUUUGACUGGAACAAAAGAGCUCUAGCAGUUUCUAGUAGGUAUUUGUGCUUUCUUUCUACUAUACCAUUUUGCUGGGGUGUGUAGGGACAAGUCCUUUGGUGUACUAUGCCCUUGGAUUGGAAAAAGAGAUUGGCUUUUGUAUUGGUGAACUCCAGCCCAUUGUCUGAUCUAAUGAUUUUGAUUCUAAUGUUGAAUUGGUUUUCUAUUAAGAUUACAAAAGCCUUAAUAGUUUGAAGGGCAUUACUGUUGCAUGACAGAAGUUGAGUCCAGGUUGAUCUACUGUAGUCAUCUACUAUGGUAAUGAAGUACCUAUAGUUGUCGUGUGUGGUAACAUGGUAAGGUCCCCACAAGUCAACAUAUAACAAUUCAAACACUUUGGUGGUAAUACUGGUCUUUUGAGGAAAGGGAAGUCUUUCUUGUCUGGCCAUGGGACAAAUGGAGCAAAGGAAGGGCUGUUUGGAUGAGAAGCUUGCAGGUAUUGAAACAAUGUUUUUCAUCUUAACAAAAGGCACAUGCUCAAGUCUAUUAUACCACAGGACAUUCACAUCAUUUCUAACAAGUUCAAGAGAGUUCAGAGAAAAAGACUGUCAUUUAUUGCUUGCAGAUGAGUUAUUUACAAGUGAAAGAGGAACACACUUAUUUGUGAGUGAUGGCUUAUUUACAUUGCUGUGAAGGUGACACUGUGUGUUGCAAGCACAACAACAAGCUGACAAAAAGGGAACUUUGACUGUAGGACCAUACUGUUUGUUCUGCAGACAUCUUUGACAUAGGAAGUAUAAGCCAUCCAUGGCUUUACCAAUCACCAGAGGCCUCUUCAUUGAAGGGGCCUGCAGCAGACAUGAAUUGUUAGAGAAGGCAACUAGACGUUCAUGUUUUGUUAGAGAAUGAACAGAGAUUAAAUUGUACUUGAAAGAGGGUAUAAACAACACUUUUUCCAGGAUGAUAUCAGGUAUGAGUGUCACACUACCAAUUUGUGUUACCCUUACUUUAUAUCCAUUUGGAAGAAUGACAAGGAGAGGAUAUGGCAAGGUUAUAAUUUUGGUCAAUAAGGAUUUGUUGAAGGUCAUGUGAUUUGAGGCUCCAGAAUCCAAUAUCCAUGAGUCAGCUCUAUUUUUGAAACAAUUACAUGACAGUUUACUAAAAUCAAUUGAGGAUGUACAUGCAACAAUACCUGCAAAGUUGGCAGUUACACAGGCUGAAUUCACAUUGCUGGUACUUUCUCCUCCAUUUCCUAUCUGAAAAUGUUGUAGUAGGCUCAUGAUCUGCCCAUACUGUUCUUGAAUCAGGUUGACAUUUUGAUUGUCCUUUUGUACAUCAAACUCAUCAUGUGAUGGCAUAUCUAAUUGAGGUCCAUGUACAUUAGCAACUAUCCUGUUUGUUCUAUUGAAACCACUACACUACUAGGUUUGAAAUUCUGAUUUGAAGUGUGCUGACUAUAGCUAUUGUUACUCUUGAAGUUUUGUCCAUAACUUUGAGGGUAUCCAUGCAGUUUGUAGUACUUAUCCUUAGUGUGUCCCGACCUCUUACAAUACUCACACAUUGGUCUUGACUUGUUUGUACCAUUGUAGUUAUUGCUAAGAGAGUAAUUUGUUCUAUAAUUGUUCUGCUUGAAAGUGUUCGCAUUCAGAGAAGUUGAUUCUAAGGCAAACUGAUUAUUAGGUCUAAUUUUCCUCUGUUUGUCUUCUUGAACCAACAGUGAAAAAGCUUGUGCCAUUGAAUAUCAUCAAGAUGCUGCCUCGCACCACAAUGUAGACCUCAUUAAGUCCCAUGAGAAAGUGUAUUAAUCGCCUAUCUUGUUCUGCCUUGUGCAUACUCUCUUUUGCUCCACACGUGCAAUGACAAGUGCAUUGAUUCUUAGCACUUAGGUUACUCGGUUCUUCCCAUAAUUUCUUCAUCUUAGUAUAGUACCCUGUGAUGUCAAGAGAUCCUUGGGAAAGAUCAUUAAUAUCCUUCUGAAUUUGAUACAGCUUUGUACCAUUGGUCUGAUCAUAUCGAUCUUCCAAUUCUUUCCACAAUUAUGUUGCAUCAUUCACAUAUUCCACGCUAUCUGCAUUUUCCUUAGAUAAUGAAUUCAGAAUCCACGAUGUUACCAUAUAAUCACAUCUCUCCCACAAUCGAAGUUUUUGAGAAUCUGGAUCUGGCUUCUUACAUUCUCCAUUGAUAAAACCUACCUUGUUCUUCACAGAAAGUGCACACACCACACUUCUCCUCCAUGAUCUGUAUCCAACACCAUUAAAAGGAACUGAUACUAACAUUGCACCGGGAUUGUCUGAGGGGUGCAUGUACAAAGGACUACUCAGAUCCACACUGGAUUGACCAUUCCCAGUUGGUAAAUCAGCCUCUAAAUCAUUAGAUCGUUCGUUUUCAUCUAAAAUCGCCAUAACUGACUCGAUUGAGCUAAGUAUUGAAAAACAAAACUAUCAAUUCUGCAAUUGAGAUUUGUAGUCGAAGAAAAAUAGUGAAUCGUUCGAAUGAAUUCCAAAAUGACUCGAAUUUAGGUUUGCAUGUGACAAAAAAACAAAUAGGAUCAGUGAAUUGAUCGAUCAAAUACAGAAUUACACUUACCGGAGAAAAGAUUCCCACCGGCUCUGAUACCAUAACAAUUUCGAGUGUUCUGCUGUGAAUGAGCUUGAACUAAGCUUCAAUGGAGAUUCCAUAGAAUGUUCUCGAAACUCAGAAGCAAUGAUAUUGAGAGGAAAAAGAGAAAUAUUGAAGCAAGAAUCUCAAAUUUCAUUCUGUAAAAUGAGAACUUAUAUACAAGAAGUUUUAACAAGAAAAUAACAACCACUAACUAACCUCCGGCUAGUAUAACUAACUGCCAGCUGACAACUAACUGACUUAACACACUAACAUCUAAUAAUUAAUAAUUUUUGCAUCUUAACAGGAACACGGUAUGGGUGUACUUUAUUUCUGAUAGGUUUAGUGUUUCUCGAUUCUUUCUUUGAUUUUUGCAUUUGUGUCUUGGUAAUGAGAAUUUGAUGGAUAUUUGUUAUUUUUUCUAUUCUCUUGGAUAGGCUCUUGCUGGAUUUUAUACAUGCAUGCCAUUGUUAUUUCUAUUUCCACAUGUAUGUUUGGAAAUAGAUAUGUAGGUGCAUGCUUGAGAUACAUAAUUGUUUCUAAUUUUAGUUGAGUGAGAUGGUACUUUGAACUGGAGCCAAAGUUCCGUUCUUGGAGCAGUGUUAUUGGACUUUACCAUUUGCUCUCUUGACAUGAUUAUUCUUCUUCUAUAUUUUUUAUGUAGUACUUGUGCUCAUUGCAGUUCUCCAUUUAGCAAGAUUGAAGUGAAAUACUUUCGGAGUGUUUUAGAGAAAAUAUUGAAGAAAAGCAGUUCCGCAACCAGGUUUGUUUUUAUUUCCUAUCGAUUUGUUUUUUUCAGGGUCAUUGCAUCGAUAUUUUUGUUUACCUUUUUCGUGGCUUUUACUCUUCCUCUUCCAGUAAGGUUAUCCAUUUGUUGUAUACCUUUUAAGUUUAAAAGAUUGAGCUUUCAGGUUGCUUACAUUUCCCAUGCAUGACAACUAAUUUGUAUAGAGGAUUCAUGACAAUCAUGAAUUAGCAGGUGCUUCAGCAUGUUUAUGGAAUUCUAUUACACUGCCAAAACGUAAGCAAAUGUUUCUGAACGCUCAAAAUUAAUUUAGAAAAUAGUUCUUUUGAAAGAAAAUGGAAGAUAUUUCUUUUAGUACUUUUUUUGUUUUGUUCUUUUAGCACAAAACAUGCUGUAAACAGAAAUUAUCUUUUUCCUUAUCGCAACAAUGAUAUUUCCUUGGUAGAGACCAUUCUCAUGGCAAUGUAGCAUGUAUCAACUGGAACACAUUUCUCAAUCCAUAGCCAGUAGAAAUAGACAAAGGAGUGUGGAAAUGGUAAUUCAAGCGUUCAUCUAAGGUAUUGGUACUUCUUUUAAAAGAAAAUCUAUAUAUUAAGCUCAUAAUAUAUAGGAGUAUAAUUUUUCUCGGGGUAGCUUAUAGCCUAUUGUUCACUUUUAAGACUUUCCUUCAAGACCUCUAACUUUAGACUGUGAACAUCGUCAAAUCUUAGCCUUCUUGGGUUCAAAUUUUCGAGCUAAUGUAAUUUUUUAAAUAUAUAUGCCAACACAAUUUAAGUUUUAUUUUCAUCCUUUUUGAUUUACACUGAAGUAGUUAUGUCUAUAUAUAUCUUGAGACUGAAUACAAAAGACACUAAGAAAUUCUUGAGACAUUGCAAAACAGAAUGACUUAAUCGUUCAAUGGCUUGACUAUAUCCUUUCGUAGAGUGGAAAAGGUGAAUUUACUCUUUUUCAUCAAAUGAAUUGUUCCUAAGGCAAAACCAAGUGAAGUUACUUUCAAUAUGAUGUUUGAAAACAUUGAUGAGAAGUAUAUUUUUUGGCAUUUGAAUGUGUUUGUCAGUUGCCUUUUUUUACUUCAUAUUUGUUAUGAACUUGCUGAUGUGCUCAAAUAUUCCAUCCAUCAUUUUUGUUAUUAUUUAUUCUAUUGGAUUAGCUUAAGAGAUAAGUUUAUUUUUAUGAUACUUCCAGUUUUUUUUUUUGCUUGAAAAUGUGACGUUAUCUUCUUUGAGAAAUUACUUUCACAUCACAAUAGUGAGCUGUGAGCAGUAUCCCUUUAUUGGGAUGGAGAAGGGAAAAGGCCAGUGCAAUACCCUGCUUCCUAUUGAGGCUUUGACUGCACAAUUACACUCUGUAGUGGAAAGGAGGCAAAUAUUAUUCAAACUUAAACCUUUGUAGUGGAAGGAAAAUAGUAACUUUGUACAACUGCUGCUCUGGAUAGUUUAUCCUUUUGUACGAGUGAUGAACUAAAAACAUUCUGUUAUCUUUCAACUAUACACUUUUUUGUGUAUAAACUAUCAUGGCAAUGUAGCUAUAUCUUUUUUUAGUUGAAUGUAGUUAUGUUAAUAAGUGAACUACUAAACUUUUUGGCGUAACUUGGAC
rnacentral:lncRNA from 1 species